CAGCAGCCACGGUAAAACGUAGGUGGCAAGCGUUGUCCGGAAUUAUUGGGCGUAAAGGGCUCGCAGGCGGUUUCUUAAGUCUGAUGUGAAAGCCCCCGGCUUAACCGGGGAGGGUCACUGGAAACUGGGAAACUUGAGUGCAGAAGAGGAGAGUGGAAUUCCACGUGUAGCGGUGAAAUGCGUAGAGAUGUGGAGGAACACCAGUGGCGAAGGCGACUCUCUGGUCUGUAACUGACGCUGAGGAGCGAAAGCGUGGGGAGCGAACAGGAUUAGAUACCCCUGUAGUCCCUGUCUCUUAUAA
rnacentral:rRNA from 1 species